AGAGUUUGAUCCUGGCUCAGAGUGAACGCUGGCGGCAGGCCUAAUACAUGCAAGUCGAACGGCAGCACAGCAGAGCUUGCUCUGUGGGUGGCGAGUGGCGGACGGGUGAGGAAUACGUGGGAACCUGCCCAGUCGUGGGGGAUAACGUAGGGAAACUUACGCUAAUACCGCAUGCGCCCUUCGGGGGAAAGCCGGGGACCUUCGGGCCUGGCGCGAUUGGAUGAGCCCACGUCGGAUUAGCUAGUUGGCGGGGUAAAGGCCCACCAAGGCGACGAUCCGUAGCUGGUCUGAGAGGAUGAUCAGCCACACUGGAACUGAGACACGGUCCAGACUCCUACGGGAGGCAGCAGUAGGGAAUAUUGGACAAUGGGCGCAAGCCUGAUCCAGCCAUGCCGCGUGAGUGAAGAAGGCCCUCGGGUUGUAAAGCUCUUUUGUCCGGAAAGAAAAGCGCCGGGUUAAUACCCUGGUGUCCUGACGGUACCGGAAGAAUAAGCACCGGCUAACUUCGUG
rnacentral:rRNA from 1 species